rnacentral:rRNA from 1 species
GGGCCGGGGGGCAGCUACACAUGCAAGUCGAGCGGCAGCACGGGUACUUGUACCUGGUGGCGAGCGGCGGACGGGUGAGUAAUGCCUAGGAAUCUGCCUGGUAGUGGGGGAUAACGCUCGGAAACGGACGCUAAUACCGCAUACGUCCUACGGGAGAAAGCAGGGGACCUUCGGGCCUUGCGCUAUCAGAUGAGCCUAGGUCGGAUUAGCUAGUUGGUGAGGUAAUGGCUCACCAAGGCGACGAUCCGUAACUGGUCUGAGAGGAUGAUCAGUCACACUGGAACUGAGACACGGUCCAGACUCCUACGGGAGGCAGCAGUGGGGAAUAUUGGACAAUGGGCGAAAGCCUGAUCCAGCCAUGCCGCGUGUGUGAAGAAGGUCUUCGGAUUGUAAAGCACUUUAAGUUGGGAGGAAGGGCAUUUACCUAAUACGUAAGUGUUUUGACGUUACCGACAGAAUAAGCACCGGCUAACUCUGUGCCAGCAGCCGCGGUAAUACAGAGGGUGCAAGCGUUAAUCGGAAUUACUGGGCGUAAAGCGCGCGUAGGUGGUUUGUUAAGUUGGAUGUGAAAUCCCCGGGCUCAACCUGGGAACUGCAUCCAAAACUGGCAAGCUAGAGUAUGGUAGAGGGUGGUGGAAUUCC